GUGUAGCUACGUUGACUCGUUGGCAUCCACUAGGUUCGCAUAUAGCAUGUUGAACAGGAAGUACGAGCUUUGAUAUGUUGAUGAGAACCUUUUAUGUUCCGUGUUUGUGUCUCAGAGAGAAUGUGUGUGUGUCUGUGCAUGUGUUUUACUCUUUUGCUCAAGAGCAGGAGGGAGAUGCUUCAGAUGUGUUGUCCUUUCAUUCCGGAGUCCUCCUUUGAGGGAUGAAAGAUUUUGUCUGCGGUGCCCUGGGAGCUGUGUACCCCGCUGUUUGCCAGUGUUAAAGAAGAAGAAAGAAAACAGAUAAUUCUUUGAAGUGGAAGCAGAGGUCUCCACAAAGAAGAAUUUCAAGAAACAGAAGGCAGGGUGGGAAUGGAGAAAGGUGAAGCAGAAGACUCUGUUUUCGGUUUUGUUGAAACCACACAAGCAUACUUAAUUUUAUCCAGGCAGGGGUUGCUCAUAAAUUCAACACUAUCUGGACCUUAGAUUCUCAUCCACUCAAUAUUUCCACUAUACACACAUGCGCAAGCACGAUCACCUUUCUUGGCCUUUGCCCUGGCUCAGAAGAUGGUUGCCUCGAGAUGUGAGCCGUUCUGAAUGCAGAUUCUGCAUGCUGGACCGCAAAUAUAAUAAAAUAUAGACAUUGCUAAUAGAGUCUGGCAGUUAUGCCUUUGGAUGAGGUUAAAGGGCUUCCUUUUUAACUCAGCGCUACAUUUGAAGGGUCUCUGGUGAUUAAACCAAGAGUUAAUUGUACGAAUUUCAAGAAGCAGAACUUGUCAGCCAAUGUGAACAUGAAAUGAUCAUUUUACCUAUUGUUACAUUUACAAAAACAAGAACCAAAACCAAAAACAUGCAAACAGAAAGAUCUUCAAAGAGUGUUUGAUCUCCAGUUGAGCUGUAGAGCAAUUUUAGUCUCAAAUAUUUACUUUUUGUUUCUUUUUUUGUCUUAUGCAUGCACAUAAAUAUACAGUGGAAUUCAGAUGAAAAGUACACCAAGUGGUUUCACACUAUUGCACAGCAGCUGCACAGUAAUGUGAAAACCAAGCCAAAGAGCAAAGUGAUAAAGAAGAAAAAAAAAAAGUGGGAUUCAACUUUAAUGAAAUUAGCUUUGGAAAUGUUUCACAAGGAAAGAAAUGCACUGAGUGCUACAUGAAAUGAAAACAGCUUUUAUCUACAGUAAAACUUAACAGAACACCUUAAAUGCUGACACUUUAUUUUUUAUUGAUGUAAUUUUAAACACAUUUUGUGGCUAUGUGAUUAAAAGAUAAAAACACAUCACCGGUGUAAAAUAACAAAAAACCAAUGAUAUAGCAGGCCCGUUUGCAAUAGUGUUAACCACUGAGCAAGAUUAGAAGCUAUAUUUAGGUCCAUAUUUAUUCACCUUUUAGUUCUAUUUUUGUUUUUCUGUUUUGUUUUUUAAGGUCCUCCAUCACCUAAAAUGUAUGGUUCUUUAAUUGCAGCUUUUUAUUGGGUGAACAUAAAUACAUGGUGUAAUAUAUGAGCUAAUUAAGUAACUUGCUUUGUUGGUGAGGUGUCAGCAGUAAUGUGGCUGUUAUUGCCUCGAUUGCAAAGUGGCUGAGAUGACUUUCUUCCACAGAGAUAGGGUGACAUCUGGAGAGAGCUGGGAGUAGACCUGCUGCUCCUUUGUGUUGAAAGGAGCCAGUUGAGGCGUUUCGGGCAUCUGGAUAAGAUGCCUCCUGGGUGCCUCCCUAUGGAGGUUUACCAGGCAAGUCCAACUUGGAAGAGACCUCAGGGUAUCUCCAGAAGCUACUGGAGAGAUUAUAUAUCUUAUCUGGUUUGGGAAUGCCUUGGGCUUCCUCCAGGAGCAGCUGGAAAUUGCUGCUGGGGAGAAGGACAUCUGGAGUGCCCUGCUUAGCCUACUGCCACUGGAAGACAAUUUUGGAUAAGCAGAAGAUAAUGGAUGAUUGAUGGCUGCAUAAUUAGCUAGCGACAGGUCUGUAAACUGAUUGGUUAACUUCAAAGAAAUGUGCUACUUUGUAGAAAUAAUUUAACAAUGCAAUGUUACAUACAGUAUCAGAGAAUUCCCUCUGUGUGAUUGACAAGAUCAAAAACCAAUGCUGAAUCUUACUGAACCUUAGGGCCUCCACUCUGCACUUCUUUAAAGCAGUCAAGAUUGUCUAGUAGAAGUAAAGAGAGUUCCAGAAACACUUCUGAAAGUCCUUGUGAGUGAACAGCAAAAAAACACCUACAUGUUCACUACUUGUUAUUUUUGUCAGAGCUGUUAUUUUAACAAUUAGUGGGUGGAGAGACAUCUACUCCUUUUGUUCGUACUUUUAGACAUUUGGAUUGUAGGGGGCAGUUACUUGAGGGAAUGCAUUUAUAGAGGGAACUUUCAUUCAGGUGCACCACUGGGAAAGCAACAGUUUUUCACUGUAUUCUCUGUAGCACGUACACCACCACUGAAAUAUAAAGUUAGGCUGCAUAACUAAUGCUCUUCUAGCUGUUCCCAGAGAGCUGAUUGGAAUUAAAUUCUUGUGCCUUUGAUUUCACUAAAUCCCAAAUCACUUUGAUUCAAGCCCAGACUUGGCCAGUCCAUCAGUUCCAGUACUCCACAUUCCCUUUUCUUGGUCAAACAGUCUCUGCACAGCUUUGAAAUUUGCUUGGGGUCAUUGUGUUGUUAAACCCACAAUUAAUCAGUUUUACUUCAGAAUGUUCAUAGGUUUUAUGGACAGAGUUUCUAGGUGUAGCCAAGUGGCAGAGGCUUGCACUUCGGUAGUCUCAGAAUCUCAUCUCUGCUUUUCGCAAAUGAUGUGGUUCAGUUGGCUUCAUUAGGCGAUGGCCUCCAGUUUGUACUGGAGCGGUUUGCAGGUGAGUGUGAAGCGACAGGAAUGCGAAUCACCACCUCCAGGUCUGAGGCCAUGGUUCUCAGCUGAAAAGGGUGAAGUGAAAAAAGAACAAGAUUGCGGAUACAAGUGACGGAAAGGAGCUUCCUCAAAAGGGUAGCUGGCCGCUUCCUUUGAGAUAGGGUAAGGAGUUCAAGAAGUGCUCCGAGUAGGGCCGCUACUCCUCCAUGCACCUCCUGGGUGAGGUGUUCUGGGCAUAUCCCACUGGACGGAGGCCCCGGGCAGACCCAGGACAAGCUGGAGAGAUUAUAUCUCUUUGUUGCCCUGGGAAUGCUUCGGUGUUCCCCCAGAAAAGGUGGAAGAGGUGGCUAGGGAGAGGGAGAUCCCUAGCCACUUGGGCUUCUCUACUAAGGCUGACCCGGCCCCGGAUAAGUGGAAGAAGAUGGAUGGAUGGAAGGGUCGGAUGGGUGGUUCAGGAGGAAUUCCAACUUUUUGGUGGAUCCAAGAUGUUGUGGUAGACCUUUUUCUUCACUAAUGUGUCCAUGCUGCUUCUAUAAUAACUAUACCAUAAUGGAAUCUUGCCCCUUUUUCACUGUCUUUGCAAUCCAUCUAACAUUCUCCAGCUUUUCUGUGGACAUAAACACAAUAUUGCUGACUGAAGAGUUGAAAUCUGUACUUGUCUGUUCAGAGUACCUUCUUCCAGUUAUCUACAGCUCAGUGUUUGUGAUCAGCUUUCAUAUUCUGCUUCUUCCUUGGCGCUUUUUGUAAGUACCAGUCUCAGCAAUUGACUCCAAAGCAUGACCACACUGUGAGAACACUUUUAGUCUUGCCCAGAUUGUCUCAAAGAUCAUCCAUCAUCACAAAGUGCUUUAUUGCAGACUCUUUCCUUUUCAGUGAGUUCUCUUCAUUUCACAUUUUUUGAACAGGAGUGAGGAAUUUCAGACGCAAUGCACAUAUUUAUACCUAGAGUUUGAGCCAGCACACUGGACUUCCCUGAGAAGUCAGAAGUGUAAUAAGUGUAAUUUUAAAGUCCUUUAUGUUUUUUCUUUUUUUGGCAUACAUUUGAAAAUUCAAAAAUAUCAGAAAUAAUGUACUUUAGCAUUAAAAAUAAUUUCAGUUAAAGAGCGUAAACAUACUAAUGGAUUAACCAUUAGAGAAACUGAUUCAGAAAUAGAUUCUGGUAAUUACUCGUGCUAAGUUAGCGCAGCUUACAGUGGGUGGUGGUCUAAUGAAUGCGUCAUGCACUGUAGUUAUAUAUGGAUUUAAAAUGAUGAACUGGGAAGUAUUCUUUGAUAAGGACAUAGUCAUUACAUGUAUUGUUAUGUAAAAAAAAAUUUAAUUAAAGCAGCUUUUAAAAUUUCCUAAUUUGAUCGAAUGGAAGAUUCAGAAAUUUGCCAAAAAGUUUGAAGUAAAAAAAUCACAUAAUAUGUUUUGUUUUGUAUUUUUUGUAUUUUCUUUUUUUACAUCAUUAAAAUUUCAGUGUAAUUCAGAUUUAACAUCUUCUGCUUCAUUGGAUGUAAAGAAAAAGGUUUCUUAUGCAAGCAAAGAAUCUGAAAGUCGAGAGAGGUAAGAAAAACACAUAAUAUUAGUCCUCACACUAACAACUGAAGGCCAGGAAGAGAUUUGAAUAGAAAGUUACACUUUUCCGAUUUAGGUAUUACAUGCAAAAAUAAUAACGCAAACAGCACUGAUAAUUUAAUAUGGCAACCUGACUUGCCACAGAGGCAAUCCUUCUAAUAGAACCACUAUGAUUUAUUGCUGAAACUCUCCACAAUAGAGACUGUAAUGGGCUUUAUUCAUAUUUUUAUUUUAUGAAACACGAUGAAAGGGGUCAUGGUGGCCAUUAAGCGGAUUAAUGGUAUGUGUUGGGUAAAGAAGAUGCUAUAAAGCCUUAAAAGUUAAUGCUGUCAUCUGCAGACUGCUGUCUUGAUGGAGUGGGAGGGGCUACAUGCAGCUAAUAGACAUAAUUCAGCCAGGUAAUGUUGGAUCACUGGGGGACAAGAUGGAUAUCACUUGGCAAUGUUAUAGGGUGUGUCGUAGUGUGCCGGCACAUUUACGCAGGUUAUUUAUGCUCCAUAAUGAAGAGCAUAAUGAAAAUUGGACACAACUAUAAAUAUGAGUAGGGAAAGCGUAAAUGUGGAGGGAUAAUCAUUGAUGCAAUUAAGAUGUCGUACACAUGCAGUGUGAGCCUGGCCUCCCCUGACUUUCUCCUCUUCCUUUCACCAAGGCUGUAUUUUACCCUGAAACAUCACAUUUAAUCCGACUGGGGAUGUCAGCAUAAAUCCACUGGACUCACACAAGGCGGCUGGCAUUUUAAAUAUGUUAAUGCCAAAGCAAUAAAGUCUUUGCUUAAUCUAUUGCUGAGGUUAUUGACAACUAUUAUUAGAUUGUUAGUGGUAUUUCUUUGUCUUAAUUGGUGUGUGGAUAUGCCUUUGUGGACACUGUGCUUGCUGUGUGUUAAGUCCCAACCAGUCCACUAACGCCUUCAAUUGUGCAUUCAUUUUGAAAUGAAAUAAUGGAUAUUGCAUUAAAGUGCCAAGUCGCAGCUUUAAUUUAGUAAGCUUGCAUCAAUAUUGAAAUACUGUGUGUGAAAUAAAGACCUUUUUACUCAUGUAGACCUGACUGCAAUAGUUCAAAAGUAAGUAGACAGAGUAUAUGUCAGUUUUAUCCUGCAGGUUAAAGCACUGGCGCAUUCCUGCUCAGGGGUUUUGCAAUCUGGCUGGUAUUUCUUAAGAUGUAACAGUUCUUGUUUUGCAAUUUGUCAGUUAAAUGUCAGGUUUCAAAACAUAAUUAAACCCCAUAACUUUAGAGUCAGAGAAGGCCAGAUACACUAACUUUCAUAAAUGGAGAAAAGGAAACUGAUAUAGUUUAGGGAUCCAGUUCUAUUGACUAAAUUAACAAAAUUACAAAUCAGGAACUGGUAUUUCGGUGUUAAUCUACAAUUUUAUAAUUAUAACAGCAAUGUGUCCAGUUACUUUUGAACUCUGAGUGGGUUUGUUAAACAGGCUUUUUUUUCCACGCACAUACUGCUUUCUAUAGGACUGCAUACCAUACUUGGCACCUUAAUGCAGUUUUGUGUUUUAUUUAGGACUGAAUGUACUGAGACACAGACUCUGAACAACAGAAUGUGAAACUGUGCAAAAACUUACAGUCUGGGUUGUAUAUGUGGGUGUAUGAAAGGGAAAAAACUGCUUGCACAUUUUGGUUUUCUGUCAGAACUGUCAGUUUAAGACAGAGGAAGUGAGGGAGGAAGCGUGGAAGGAGGGGGAAGUAGAGUGAGAAGAUGCAGGAGGAGAGCGAUGGAGACAGAUGAGAAUUGAAGCCCAGGAGCUGAAGUGACCCUGCUGACCAGAUGCUGAUAAACUGCCAUUACUGAGCACUCUGUCAGCUCUGCCUCUCAUAUGUCACUGUCAUCCUGCUGCACUUCACCUUUUCCCUCUCCUCUUCUUAUUUGUCUUUCUCCGCUUGUCUCCUUUUUGUUAAUCCUUAUUACUUAUUCACGACUACAUAUUUAUGUUGGGAAGCAUCAUUCGUCUUUUCAGGUCUUUUUACCCCUUUUUAAAAUCCCAGUGAAGAGAUAUUUACUUACCUUUGGUUCUGUUCUUCAGAUGCAUUGCCUUACAUUCAAUGUGUCACAGCAGGCAUGUUCAGCUUGUGGGAAAUGACUCAGCUCUAGCCAUUAUUUUGACUGACUCAGACAGGCAGUAGAAAGAAGCAGAGGCUUAUCUCUGAAUGAAUAUCUCCUCUUUUUUUAAGAACCAGAGUGGUUGCUAUGUGCCAACCAAUACUUUCUUCUGUGUUCAUAUAAGAAACAAGUUUCACUGGAUUUUUAGCUUUGUGGUUACGGGUGGUUGUUGUUAAGAUAUCCAGAAAUAGGUGCUGUGUAUGAGAUGUUCUUUAAAUCUUACCCAUGACUCUACUUCUGGCAUUAGAAUAGUGGCUGGCCUAGGUUGUCCUACAUAUACAGUGCUUUUUAACUGUGAGUCAGAUCCCUUAAUGCAGCACAGCCUUGCUAUUAUACAGUUCUUCGUUUUUUCUAACACUGGUGGGUAGCACUUCAUAGGCACCUAACUCAAGGAAUGAACCUGUGUGCUGUCUAAACAGCUUUAUUUGUUCCCAUUUCUUGAGCUUAAUCUACAAAAAGUGCCAAAGAUAACACAGUUUGACAGGCACAAAAUAGUAUUUUUGCACCAACAAGGUGAUUCCCAAAGACCUAUAAGUAAAACACAAACAGAUACACGCACACACGCUUAAUGUGUAGUGUGUCCUUCAAAAGUGAAGGACAAAAGCAGGAAAAGGUACAAGAAAGAAUCUGUAAAACGGGGAUCUUGUCAAAAUUUAUUAAAUUAUGAUUGCAAGACAAGCGCCAUCUGAUUUUGAGACACCAUGCAAUGUCAUCUGAAAAGCGUCUGAUUGGCAACGUCUUUCAUUUUUCAGCACACUCAAAAAAAUAAUUCAUUGGAUGAACGUAAUUUUAUCUUGCCACUUAUAUUCCAUCUAAACAAAUCAUGUUACAUUAGUCCAUCUUGAUUGUGUUGUUUCAACACGAUAUAUGUUUGUAAGUUUAGCAUAAUAUUAACAUUAACAUUCCAUUAAUUUGACUUUUAUUCAAACAACUUGUUUGUACCAAGUUAGUCUAAUUAAAUUUAUUUAAAGUCAUGUUAUAUUGUUUAAACACUUUGGCACAUCAAAAGUCAGUCUUGUUACAUGAACUAGUAAAAUAUUUGUUUGUUACACCAGUGAUAAUCUUGUUGAAUGAACAAAUGUAACUUCUGUCUGUAGUACAUGUUGUGUUCAUAUUACAUAAUGUGCAACAAAAAAUUCAACGGAUUUAGAGCAACUUCCAAUCCACCCAUCCUCUUAUCUUUAUCUGGGCUGUGGAAGUGAUAGGGUAAGAGGGGCAGGGUACAUCCUGGACAGGUUGCCAGACUAUCACAUAGAGACAAACAACCAUUUGCACUUUAAUACCCUUGGGUAAUUUAGAAUCACCAAUUACCCUUACCUUAACAACUGCAUGACUUUUAACUGUGAAGGAAACCAGAGUAUGCAGAGAGAACCCCUUGCAAACUUGGCCAGAUUGUGGAUUUGAACCCAGGACCUUCUUGCGCUGAGGCAACAGCACGAACCACCACGGCAUUGAGCUAUCAAUACAGACUCAACAAAAGUAGGAAAGCUAUGCUUGAUGCAGAAUUUUCUUUAUGUUUUUGUCCCUGACAAGUUAAACCAUAAUAAAUAGUAAUACAUACACAUGGUGUGUGUAUGGUUGUCUGUCUCUUAUAACCCAGUGAUUUUCCUGUGAUUUGACAUCUCGUGUGAUCUUGUGAAUUUCGUGAGUCCAGGCAACUAACCACUUCUUCUAGAUUGUAUCAUGUCAUCUGAACAAGAACAAAUUAAGUCUUUGAAUUUCAUGCACAUCCAACAUGAUUUCAUUGCGUUCACCAUAGAAACAUGAAAUUAUUUUGUUCAAAUGACAAGUUAGACUUUUGUAAAUGUAACAGCCACCCAAUUUACUUUUUUUGAGUGCAUGAAAACGAUCCCAAACACAUUACCAAUGCAGUAAAAGCUUACCUGGUUAGAAAAACACAUAAUGGAGCACUUUCAGUCAUGGAUCGGCCUCCUCGGACGCUGGACCUCAACAUUAUUAGGGCACUGUGAUUUCAUUUUGACAGAUCUAACCAACAAUCUAACUAUCGCAGCAAACUCAACACAAAAAUUAACAAAUUUGGUAAAACACAGAUUCUACCACACGUAUUAACUGCAAAACAACAACCUGCUAGCAGUUAAUUAUGUUGUGUUGAAUAAAUCAAUGCUUGCCAACAGACUGAGGGAGUAUUCCCACUCCCCAGAUGUGGGAGACACUUAUGACCUUAUUGGCAUUCCCAGUAUUUUGGACUGUAGCCAAAUAGCUCCAGCAGCAGAAGAAAUAAACAAUAUAAAAAAGUAUCUAAAAUUAAUAAUAGUGCAUGUGAAAUGGUAUCAGUAGGUGUCCAAAAACAAAGACAAUUUAAAUGUGUUUGUUCAUGAGGUUACUCACUUCUACAG